GAUGAACGCUGGCGGCGUGCCUAAUACACGCAAGUCGAGCGAACGGACGAGAAGCUUGCUUCUCUGAUGUUAGCGGCGGACGGGUGAGUAACACGUGGAUAACCUACCUAUAAGACUGGGAUAACUUCGGGAAACCGGAGCUAAUACCGGAUAAUAUUUUGAACCGCAUGGUUCAAAAGUGAAAGACGGUCUUGCUGUCACUUAUAGAUGGAUCCGCGCUGCAUUAGCUAGUUGGUAAGGUAACGGCUUACCAAGGCAACGAUGCAUAGCCGACCUGAGAGGGUGAUCGGCCACACUGGAACUGAGACACGGUCCAGACUCCUACGGGAGGCAGCAGUAGGGAAUCUUCCGCAAUGGGCGAAAGCCUGACGGAGCAACGCCGCGUGAGUGAUGAAGGUCUUCGUAUCGUAAAACUCUGUUAUUAGGGAAGAACAUAUGUGUAAGUAACUGUGCACAUCUUGACGGUACCUAAUCAGAAAGCCACGGCUAACUACGUG
rnacentral:rRNA from 1 species